rnacentral:rRNA from 1 species
ACCAUGCAGUCGAACGGUGAAGCCAAGCUUGCUUGGUGGAUCAGUGGCGAACGGGUGAGUAACACGUGAGCAACCUGCCCUGGACUCUGGGAUAAGCGCUGGAAACGGCGUCUAAUACUGGAUAUGAGACGUGAUCGCAUGGUCGUGUUUGGAAAGAUUUUUCGGUCUGGGAUGGGCUCGCGGCCUAUCAGCUUGUUGGUGAGGUAAUGGCUCACCAAGGCGUCGACGGGUAGCCGGCCUGAGAGGGUGACCGGCCACACUGGGACUGAGACACGGCCCAGACUCCUACGGGAGGCAGCAGUGGGGAAUAUUGCACAAUGGGCGGAAGCCUGAUGCAGCAACGCCGCGUGAGGGAUGACGGCCUUCGGGUUGUAAACCUCUUUUAGCAGGGAAGAAGCGAAAGUGACGGUACCUGCAGAAAAAGCGCCGGCUAACUACGUGCCAGCAGCCGCGGUAAUACGUAGGGCGCAAGCGUUAUCCGGAAUUAUUGGGCGUAAAGAGCUCGUAGGCGGUUUGUCGCGUCUGCUGUGAAAUCCCGAGGCUCAACCUCGGGCCUGCAGUGGGUACGGGCAGACUAGAGUGCGGUAGGGGAGAUUGGAAUUCCUGGUGUAGCGGUGGAAUGCGCAGAUAUCAGGAGGAACACCGAUGGCGAAGGCAGAUCUCUGGGCCGUAACUGACGCUGAGGAGCGAAAGGGUGGGGAGCAAACAGGCUUAGAUACCCUGGUAGUCCACCCCGUAAACGUUGGGAACUAGUUGUGGGGACCAUUCCACGGUUUCCGUGACGCAGCUAACGCAUUAAGUUCCCCGCCUGGGGAGUACGGCCGCAAGGCUAAAACUCAAAGGAAUUGACGGGGACCCGCACAAGCGGCGGAGCAUGCGGAUUAAUUCGAUGCAACGCGAAGAACCUUACCAAGGCUUGACAUAUACGAGAACGGGCCAGAAAUGGUCAACUCUUUGGACACUCGUAAACAGGUGGUGCAUGGUUGUCGUCAGCUCGUGUCGUGAGAUGUUGGGUUAAGUCCCGCAACGAGCGCAACCCUCGUUCUAUGUUGCCAGCACGUAAUGGUGGGAACUCAUGGGAUACUGCCGGGGUCAACUCGGAGGAAGGUGGGGAUGACGUCAAAUCAUCAUGCCCCUUAUGUCUUGGGCUUCACGCAUGCUACAAUGGCCGGUACAAAGGGCUGCAAUACCGUGAGGUGGAGCGAAUCCCAAAAAGCCGGUCCCAGUUCGGAUUGAGGUCUGCAACUCGACCUCAUGAAGUCGGAGUCGCUAGUAAUCGCAGAUCAGCAACGCUGCGGUGAAUACGUUCCCGGGUCUUGUACACACCGCCCGUCAAGUCAUGAAAGUCGGUAACACCUGAAGCCGGUGGCCCAACCCUUGUGGAGGAGCCGUCGAAGGUG